CCUACGGGUGGCAGCAGUGAGGAAUAUUGGUCAAUGGGCGGGAGCCUGAACCAGCCAAGUCGCGUGAGGGAAGACGGUCCUACGGAUUGUAAACCUCUUUUGCCGGGGAGCAACGGGGUCCUUGCGAGGGCCCGAUGAGAGUACCCGGAGAAAAAGCAUCGGCUAACUCCGUGCCAGCAGCCGCGGGAAGCCGGAGGAUGCGGGCUUUAUCCGGAUUUAUUGGGGGUAAAGGGUGCGUAGGCGGGCUGUUGAGGCAGAGGUAAAAUGUCGGGGCUAAACCCCGGCCUGCAGUUGAAACUGGCGGCCUCGAGUGGGCGAGAGGUAGGCGGAAUGCGUGGUGUAGCGGUGAAAUGCGUAGAUAUCACGCAGAACUCCGGUUGCGAAGGCAGCAUACCGGCGCCCGACUGACGCUGAGGCACGAAAGCGUGGGUAUCGAACAGGAUUAGAUACCCCAGUAGUC
rnacentral:rRNA from 1 species